rnacentral:lncRNA from 1 species
AGCAGACAGUUACAGCUCCCACUAGGACACUGCCUUCUCAGCGGCUUCAGUUAUCAGAUAUUCCUGGACAUACUUUCCAAGCCAUGAAAAAUAACAGCCACAGCUUUCCCAGCACUCUGACAAACAUCCAUGAGCCCCCAAAGACCGGGAAGUAAUGAUGAUGCAGCUGCGGCACCAUAGAAGAAACAAGUGAUUUCAGUCAAAGGGCCUGGACUCACGAGCUAGCAACUUUGGACAGAUUCUUGAACUCUCAGCCUCAGUUUCUGCUUCUGUAAAGGGAGAUAACUACAGUGACCUUCAGGUUAUCUUGAAGAUGCCAAUGAGCUAGUGAAAAUGCAAUUUAAUCUGUACAGAACUAAACAAAUGCUCUUUUAAUACAAAUUAAUUAAAAGCAGGCAUCUUAAGAGGUGGCUUAAGAAGACUCCUGCAUCAUCAUAGGGAGUUAAAAUUCUGAGCAAAAAGCCUUCUGGAGGAGAAGCAUAGGACAGGCAGCCCCAAGACUGGACUGGAUAGAUGUUGCUGAGCCACCAACUCUCUGAGGGACCUGAGACAAAGCCAGGUGACCUCACCAGUGCUCCAUGUUCUCACCAUAAGUUCUAUAGGACACUCAAAUAUUCUCAGGACAUCAGUUUACUAUACACAUGCACACACACAUAUUUUACAUUUCAUUCAAAGGGUAAAACAUAGACUCCCUUUGUUCUAUAAACCUACAAACAUGUCUGAGCAUUUUUUACAUAAAUAUUUCACAAAUAUUUUACAUGAAUACUUCGACUUAUAAGUCCAUAUUUUAACAAUGGCAUCUUUUCCAAUGUGUACAUUAUGGAAGUGUGGUUGGGGUGUACAGCCUAGGAGCUCAGGGACUGCACAGGCCUGUUCUUUAUGGAUGCAUUGCAUUCAUCUCCCACAGCCAUUUGUAGCUUCAGCUGUUUCUGAAAGCAGCCACUUUCCCUUUUGAUGUCUGAGGUCCAUUAUUUUCAUUUUUGACUUAACCAACAGGUGUUCUCUCUUGAACUCUUUCCUACAUGAGCUGUCUUGCCUCAGGGUUCCCACGGACAGGAGAGUUUUUCCUACAGUGUUACUGAGAGGCACAGAGAAAUCAGUUCCUCCUGGUCCACUGGCUCCGCUCUCAGCACUGCAGUCUCUUGUGACCACGCUGAAGUCUCAACGUUUCCCCCUUCUGAGGACAUGCAGGGACAGAAGGGUGAACCACAAGGGCCAGACCUAAUGCUCCAGGAAAACAAUGAAAGAACAAUUUUCCAUCCUUUUAUUUAGGGCUUAAGUAAGCCAGGCCUGUAACACCAAAUUGUGAGAGUGCACAAGAUGUUUUUGAACCUUGGUGCAGAAUCCAGAAAGAAGUGCAGCCUCUGGUGACAGGGUCUUGGGCUAGCCAUGUGAAGCCUGGCUUUAUGUCAGGCCUCUCAAAUGUGCUGUACAAACCUACCUGCAGGUCUACUCUAGGCAGAAGGGGUGGACCGAUGGCACCAACAAACACAUCUGUACACACAACAGUGCAGCAGACACUUGUGGAUGGGGUAUGAGACAAGCUGUAGAUGCCCUCAAUUAAAUCUGAGGACAAAAGAAGACUGCCCAGAGAGUGGCACUAGCAUGGCAACAAAAUAUUUCAAAAUAUUAAUGGGUUUUACAUACACGCAUAAAAUCACAUUUUUCUGACCUUAUAACACAUUUCAGUCAUUUAGGUAUUGAGUUUGUAAUGCUUGUGGAUACUCGAAAAAUUGAAAGAGGCAAAGUUAGACUUCUUGUCCCCAAGACUGGAAAUAUGUCCCUUCGUUGGGAGUUGGGUGGUGUUGAAUGCAGUUGGGGUGGAAGGAGAGGAGAGCUAAUGGGAAAACAAAGAAUAAGUAAAUGUUCUACAUUCCUGAGAAAAGGGGCCCUGCCCCCUAGCCAUCUCUGCAGCAAAGCCCUGGGGGAGAGAGAGAGAAUGCUCAGACAUGUUUGUAGGUUUACAGAACAAAGGGAAUCUAUGUUUUACCCUUUGAAUGAAAUACAGGAAAGCAAAAUACCUAGAGCAGAAAUGGCUGUGUGACAUGUCAGACAAGGUCAUAGAGUUUUCCAUGGCCCUGCACUGCCCGUGGCUCAUGUGGCAUGACUGUAGGUGAAACCCAGAAUGGACUCUCAAGGUGCCCUGGGCUCCCUUCCUCAAUGGCUGAAGAAGGCUUCUCUUGACCUAAUGGAGUUUAAAGAGACUUGGGGAUAUAGUGAACUAGACCCCAGAAGCCUUUCAAACAGGAACUAGGGGGCGCCCACCAGGACCUUGUGGACUGACAGUGGAGGCUCAAUGAGACAAAAUGUGUCAUGGAGAUGCCUUCAGGACAGACAGCAUUCGGGAACAGAUACCAGCUCCUUACAGUCUUGGCCUCCAGAUUAGACAUGGCCCUGGAAAAAGGUGAUGGGGGACCUGGAAUUACCAGACAGCAAUUCCGUUCCCCCACUUAGUGGAAUGGGAGCACAACAUGUAAAUUAAAGGAAUUAGAGAAAAACA